rnacentral:rRNA from 1 species
UGCCAGCAGCCGCGGUAAUACGUAGGGUGCAAGCAUUGAUCGGAAUUAUUGGGCGUAAAGGGCGCGUAGGCGGCCAGGUAAGUCAGAUGUGAAAGCUCGGGGCUCAACCCCGGAAGUGCACUUGAAACAGCAAGACUUGAAUACGGUAGAGGAGAGAGGAAUUCCUGGUGUAGAGGUGAAAUUCGUAGAUAUCAGGAGGAACACCGAUGGCGAAGGCAUCUCUCUGGGCCGAUAUUGACGCUGAGGCGCGAAGGCGUGGGUAGCGAACGGGAUUAGAUA